rnacentral:rRNA from 1 species
AGCGGCGAACGGGUGAGUAACACGUGGGUGAUCUGCCCUGCACUUCGGGAUAAGCCUGGGAAACUGGGUCUAAUACCGGAUAUGACCUUGGGAUGCAUGUCCUGGGGUGGAAAGGUUUACUGGUGCAGGAUGGGCCCGCGGCCUAUCAGCUUGUUGGUGGGGUAAUGGCCUACCAAGGCGACGACGGGUAGCCGACCUGAGAGGGUGACCGGCCACACUGGGACUGAGACACGGCCCAGACUCCUACGGGAGGCAGCAGUGGGGAAUAUUGCACAAUGGGCGAAAGCCUGAUGCAGCGACGCCGCGUGAGGGAUGAAGGCCUUCGGGUUGUAAACCUCUUUCAGCAGGGACGAAGCGCAAGUGACGGUACCUGCAGAAGAAGCACCGGCUAACUACGUGCCAGCAGCCGCGGUAAUACGUAGGGUGCGAGCGUUGUCCGGAAUUACUGGGCGUAAAGAGUUCGUAGGCGGUUUGUCGCGUCGUCUGUGAAAACCCAUCGCUCAACGAUGGGCCGGCAGGCGAUACGGGCAGACUUGAGUACUGCAGGGGAGACUGGAAUUCCUGGUGUAGCGGUGAAAUGCGCAGAUAUCAGGAGGAACACCGGUGGCGAAGGCGGGUCUCUGGGCAGUAACUGACGCUGA